AACUUUGCACAAUUCCAGCCUGUUUUCUCCAUAUUAUAGCAAGUGCAUGCAUUUUUAAGGAGACUUAACUAUAUGGAAAAUCUGAAGGUCUAAUAUGAAGUCUUUCUCAUGAGGAGAAAGACAAGGCCUUAUUUACACCUACCUGCUGCAGUCGCCUUUGUCUUUACAUGUAUGUGGCGAUUUUCACACUAAACCAUUUUCCGAGUCAAGGUUAUGAGGCGGGCAGGAGGAAUACGGUGUUAUCAUGGAAGCUGGUUUCAGUCUUAACUAUGGAUAAGCUACUGCCUCUCUAUGAUAUCCUAAUAUCUUGCCAAAGCAUACAACAAAUGAAAUAAAAUCACUGCUUAUAAUGAUACCAAGACAAAAUCUUAACUUCACAGUGUGCCUGAAAGAUUGACAAAUAGAGGUUGUGGCGGCUCAAGAGUGGAGUGAAUUCCAGUGCUAGCUGGAUGCCCAAUGAUCAUUGUGAGUUCUUGACUGUCUUCUGAAGAAGCAUCUUUCAUUUCAAAUGCUAUAAAGACUGAUUUUCUAUUGAAGCAAUAAAAUGAUCUUUAAAAUCAUAUCCCAGAGGAAGGAAAAUGGUUGUUUAUAAUAUCGAAUGGUAGUUAGCUAUUAGAUAUGCAUUAUCAAAAAAGACAA